ACUGCGAGUGAAGAGGGAAGAGCUCAUCAUUGGAAUCUGGCAGUGUUGCGCUGUCCGAGUUGUAGAUGAGGAGUGGUUCAUCUGGACUGCAUGGCAUCCAAGUACAAUAGGCCGUCAGUGGGACAUCAUAGAGGGUGACAAUCCCGUCCUUGAUGCCAAUGUACAAGUCCGCUACGAUGGCUAUCUCAGAGAGUCGAGCAGUUUGGGAUUUGCUGCUUAAACAUGGGAGGUAGAUUCCUUCUAAAGCUAAAUACAGGCGAGAGACCGAUAGAGAACAAGUACCGCAAGGGAAAGAUGAAAUAGAACUCUGUGAAGGGAGUCAAAAGGCGUGAAAUUGUUGCGAGAGAAGCGAUUCAAGUCAGCGUAGCUAGGCCCAUCAAGCAUCUCGCUUUGGACUAGCUUUGCCAGCGGUCUUGUCCCUAGAGACUUGACUUUGUUAUGCCCAGCCUGGUCUACACAGGUAGCCCCCUCUGGGGGCCAGUGGCAUGGCUGGUGGAAUGGCUUGCAAUCGACCCGUCUUGAAACACGGACCAAGGAGUCUAACAUGUAUGCGAGUAUAAGGGUGGCAAACCCGUAUGCGCAAUGAAAGUGAUUUUCGUCGAUUGAGAAUGGCCUGAUGACCAGACAAGCAAUAUAUGUCCCUCGUACGGCCAUUGCCCAAGUUCCGUGGUAAUACCCAUGAACAUGGAGUUGGAGCAUACAUGCUAGGACCCGAAAGAUGGUGAACUAUGCCUGGACAAAGCGAAGCCAAAGGAAACUCUGGUGGAGGCUUGUAGCGAUUCUGACGUGCAAAUCGAUCGUC
rnacentral:rRNA from 1 species